AUUGAACGCUGGCGGCAGGCCUAACACAUGCAAGUCGAACGAGCGGCGGACUGGUGAGUAAUGUCUGGGGAACUGCCCGAUGGAGGGGGAUAACUACUGGAAACGGUAGCUAAUACCGCAUACCAUCGGAUGUGCCCAUAUGGGAUUAGCUAGUGGGCGGGGGAACGGCUAACCUAGGCGACGAACGCUAGCUGGUCUGAGAGGAUGAACAGCCACACUGGGACUAAGACACGGCCCAGACUCCUACGGGAGGCAGCGGUGGGGAAUUUUGCACAAUGGGCGCAAGCCUGAUGCAGCCAUGCCGCGUGUAUGAAGAAGGCCUUCGGGUUGUAAAGUACUUUCAGCGAGGAGGCGUUACCCGCAGAAGAAGCACCGGCUAACUCCGUGCCAGCAGCCGCGGUAAUUC
rnacentral:rRNA from 1 species